rnacentral:rRNA from 1 species
UACGUAGGGCGCGAGCGUUUGUCCGGAAUUAUUGGGCGUAAAGAGCUCGUAGGCGGUCUGUCGCGUCUGCCGUGAAAACCCGAGGCUUAACCUCGUGGCUUGCGGUGGAUACGGGCAGACUAGAGGUAGGUAGGGGGAGAAUGGAAUUCCCGGUGUAGCGGUGAAAUGCGCAGAUAUCGGGAGGAACACCGGUGGCGAAGGCGGUUCUGCUGGGCCCGUUACCUAGACGCUGAGGAGCCGAAAGCGUGGGGAGCGAACAGGUUGAGAAACCCCA